CAUUUCGCCCUUCAACUUCAUGCUCUGAGCUCUCGCAUGUUCAAGAACAACCUCACUCUACCCAUUUAGAAAUCUGCUCAUCAUCUACUGUUCCACAGAUUUAAUUUCUGUAUGAACAACUAUUAAUUUGUUUAUUCCUCAAGAUCAGCAUUUGAAGAGCAGAGAAGAACAACUCCUCUACACACCGCCAUAGCAGCUUAAUGAUCGGAGCAAAAAACUUCGAAAUUAUGGCGAUACAGAUAGCUUCCGUCAAUAAAAUAUCUAACUACUACGGACAAAAAUCGAACGAAUACAGCUCAAGAUCUGAGUGUGAAACAUCGCUAUAUGUACAUGCAAACCAAGAUUUCUGUCAAUUAAUUCGUCAUCCAUGGUUGAUACAGAGUGGUUCUUAGAUCCGGAAUAUAGAAGAAGAUCAGGAAAAAUGGUAUUUUCCCGUACAUGCAAACAGUUGGCAAAUAGAUUGAUUUAUUCUAGCAGUCACGAAAAAGGACGCGUUAAAGAUAAGUAGAUCUGAACUAUUUUAUAUAUUUUUUAGAAUAAAAAAAUGCAAAGUUAUUAUACUAUAUCUAUAAAUGUAAUUUGUAUUCUUAAAAAUAAAAUUGAAAUAAAAUAAAGUUGUGUACUGUAUCAUAAUCAGCAUAAUGAAGAUUAAAAUUUUUGUAGUUUUUUCUCAUGUUAGAAAAUAAAAAGACAUUUAAUAUAAAAGAUUAUGAGAAACUGAAUGUUAAGUACCAAAACUACACUGUUAAUAUGGUUUAAUUGAUUCGAAUUUAUAUCAAAGCAAGAGGAAAUACAAUAUCAAAAAAGGUAAAAUGAAUAGAGAUGUAGCCCUUACGAAAUUUAUACACAGUAAUAGAUUAACUGACCUUUGUUUUCGGAUGAUACUUUUCUCUUUCUUCCAAUAAUAGUGGAAGCUCUUAAUUUCUUCAUAGUUUUGAAGAGUUCUUCUUAAAAGUUUAUUAUUUUUUAAAACUAAAAAAAAAAUACAAUACAUUUUCAUGUUCUCUCACCUUGUAUUAUAAAUUUUAAUUUCUUUAUACAUUUAAAAACAAAAGUAAGUACAUUUAACCUGAGGUGAUAAUAUUAAUAGGUUUGCUGCAAGCAGAUUCUUUUAAAGGAAAAAAGUGGAAGCUUUAACAUGAAGGUAUGUGGACAUGGAUGAAGACACCCUAUAUUUAAAACACAUCCAAAAAUAUCAAGGUGAGAUAUCAGUCAGUCACAAGAUAAGAUCGCACACAACGCAAUCUUAUAGCCUUGGUGCUCUGCUGAGGAUGAAGCUGCAUCCCAACAAUAAACUGCCCAUACAUUACCACACUGCACUCCAGAAAACUCACCUCAGUACCUUAAUCUUCAAAUUAUGAUAUUCCUACUUGUAAUCUAUUUUGCAGAGCUUUGUGUUUGCAUAUCCAAGCUUAGAAUGUGAAUGUAUUUAUAAGAGUAGAAGUAAGCUGAGAAGUGUAUAAAAUAUUUCAAUAAUUGUACUUUAAGCACUCCCAUACCUAUUUAGGUUUUUCUACACGCUACCUAAACCAAUUAGACUA